rnacentral:lncRNA from 1 species
CCGCAGCGCAGACAGGAAUGUCACCGUGGUCUCCCAGGCUGAAUGACAAAAGUUCGUGGACUGCCCCCUCCCCGCCUAUCCUCCACCCACGCGUACCGCCCCGUUCCCCCACCGUUUCCGACCCGGCAGCUUCUGGAAAACAGCGCCCUUGAUCCUCCCGGGCAGGAAGAAGGGCCAAGGAAGGGGUUAGAAGGGAAAGAGUUAGGAUUUCCCAAGAACCAGCCCUGAAGGCCUGGAGGUGGGGGAUUUCGCUUCUUAGUUGGACGGGAGCCCCUUGGGUUCCUCACUUCUUAGCCCGCGCCCUGCGGGAGGAGCGACUCUGCUUGUCCCUCAAGAUGCUUGUGAAGGUGCCCGCUGCGCUCUGACACCGGCGAUCUCUUAGAAUGAAGACCAUCCCUGGGCAAAAUUGCGAAGAAGUGGAAGGAAAGAAGAGAAAGAAGAAGAAAGGAAUAUAGGUAAAAAAACUAAAAUGAGAAGUUGAGAACAGAAAUCUUGACUAGAAGGGCAACAAGGAAAAAGGGGAGGGAAUGAACAUAUAUGAAACAUUCCACAUGCCACGGUGCCACUAAUAUUAAGAAAACUGUGGCAAAUAGAGCCAGGAAGGCCACAAAAAGAAGACCCUUAUGCUUGUAUGCCUGAUAACAAAAUUAUUGCCAAAGAUUGUAAAAAAAACACAACAUUGCACAAAGGCCAUCACAAUCUUAAACAAAAAAAUACUUCUACAAGGACAUCUGCCCAGCAACUGCAUGUCUAAUCUCAGACUGGCAUCACCCUUGUUAUUGAUUUUUGUAGCCAAGGAUAAUAAUUAUUUCAACAAUUAUGUAAUUCUCCUUAAUGUUUUCCCAUAAAAACCUUUGUCUUCCUUUGCCUCCCGGAAUAUACACAUAGUUUACUAUGGCAUGCAUAUUCCCAUUGCAAUGCUUUAAUCCAAAUAAAUAUCUCCUUCUUUUAGGGAGCUUGUUUCUCUGUUGGUUAUUUAGAUUGACACUAGCAUGGUACUAUCAUAUGUCAUCCUAGUCAAUCAUUAAGAUAAGGAUGUUGAGGUUCAGAGAAGCACAAAGUAACCUGGAAAAGGUCACCUGGAUUAAAAAGAAUUUGUUGCCAUUUGAAUCCAGGUCAUACUACUGUACUAUGGGCAUUGUCAUCUCAUGACCAUUUGUUGAUCUCCAGUCUACCAAAAGCUCAACCUAAUGCAGUGCCCCAUAAAUAAUAUUUGUUUUUAAGAUAUUUAUUGAUCUGAACUGAAGUAUUCUUUAAGAGUAUGUUGAAUAGGAGUGGUGAGAGAGGGCAUCCC